rnacentral:rRNA from 1 species
GACGAACGCUGGCGGCGUGCCUAAUACAUGCAAGUAGAACGCUGAAGCUUGGUGCUUGCACCGAGCGGAUGAGUUGCGAACGGGUGAGUAACGCGUAGGUAACCUGCCUGGUAGCGGGGGAUAACUAUUGGAAACGAUAGCUAAUACCGCAUAAUAGAAGAUGUUGCAUGACAUUUGCUUAAAAGGUGCAAUUGCAUCACUACCAGAUGGACCUGCGUUGUAUUAGCUAGUUGGUGAGGUAACGGCUCACCAAGGCAACGAUACAUAGCCGACCUGAGAGGGUGAUCGGCCACACUGGGACUGAGACACGGCCCAGACUCCUACGGGAGGCAGCAGUAGGGAAUCUUCGGCAAUGGACGGAAGUCUGACCGAGCAACGCCGCGUGAGUGAAGAAGGUUCUCGGAUCGUAAAGCUCCGUUGUAAGAGAAGAACGAGUGUGAGAGUGGAAAGUUCACACUGUGACGGUAUCUUACCAGAAAGGGACGGCUAACUACGUG